CCUACGGGUGGCAGCAGUGGGGAAUAUUGCACAAUGGGGGAAACCCUGAUCCAGCGACGCCGCGUGAGUGAAGAAGUAUUUCGGUAUGUAAAGCUCUAUCAGCAAGGGAGAAAAUGACGGUACCUGACUAAGAAGCCCCGGCUAACUACGUGCCAGCUGCCGCGGUAAUACGGAGGGGGCAAGCGUUAUCCGGAGUUACUGGGUUUAACGGGGGUGUAGACGGGAGCACAAGUCUGGAGUGAAAUGCCGGGGCUUAACCCCGGAACUGCUGUUGAAACUGGGCAGCUAGAGUGCAGGAGAGGUAUGCGGAAUGCGCGGUGUAGCGGUGAAAUGCGUAGAUAGCAGGAAGAACUCCGGUGGCGAAGGCGGCUUACUGGACUGUAACUGACGUUGAGGCUCGAAAGCGUGGGUAGCAAACAGGAUUAGAUACCCCUGUAGUC
rnacentral:rRNA from 1 species